GUUGCUGCGACCACUAACCCCCGUUCUUGAGGGCUCUGUUAGAGAUUCCAUCACCUCCGGAGAUGAUCUCCCAUUAAGGUUUUGAAGAACCUCCCAGACCUCGCUGGCGUUAAAGGGCUCACCGAGCUCAAGGUAAGGGAGCCCUGUGUAGCACGGGUAGGCAGGAC
rnacentral:lncRNA from 1 species